rnacentral:rRNA from 1 species
ACUUUAAGCGAGGAGGAGGCUACCGAGAUUAAUACUCUUGGAUAGUGGACGUUACUCGCAGAAUAAGCACCGGCUAACUCUGUGCCAGCAGCCGCGGUAAUACAGAGGGUGCAAGCGUUAAUCGGAUUUACUGGGCGUAAAGCGCGCGUAGGUGGCCAAUUAAGUCAAAUGUGAAAUCCCCGAGCUUAACUUGGGAAUUGCAUUCGAUACUGGUUGGCUAGAGUAUGGGAGAGGAUGGUAGAAUUCCAGGUGUAGCGGUGAAAUGCGUAGAGAUCUGGAGGAAUACCGAUGGCGAAGGCAGCCAUCUGGCCUAAUACUGACACUGAGGUGCGAAAGCAUGGGGAGCAAACAGGAUUAGAUACCCUGGUAGUCCAUGCCGUAAACGAUGUCUACUAGCCGUUGGGGCCUUUGAGGCUUUAGUGGCGC